UUGAAUAAAAUUACACCCACUCUCUUCCAUUAUGGUGAACACUUAAAAUUACAUUUAUAGAAAAUUACAUUUACACAAACUUGUUUAAAAGCCAAAUCCCAGACCUAGGCUAUUGGCCAAAUUCCAUUUAAAGGGGAUAUUAAGUAAAUUAGUUGAGCUGAUUAAAAACACCUUCAUCAAAGUAGAGCAUUGGUGCCAACAAUAUUAAGAGUUGAACUAUUGAUUACAUUUUUUUUUCCACAGCAGAUAAUACAUUAGCAGGGAGGAAAAGUGAUUACUGCUCGCUUCCACUUCACAGGUAGAACUACUGAUGGGGGUGACGCGGUAAGGUGGGAGGGCAUGAAGGCAGGGGACGCGGCCUAGGUCAGGAGGGACGCAGAGGAGAAAG
rnacentral:lncRNA from 1 species